rnacentral:rRNA from 1 species
GAUGAACGCUGGCGGUAUGCUUUACACAUGCAAGUCGUACGAAAGUGUUAAAACUUUAGUGGCGGACGGGUGAGUAACACGUGAGAAUUUACCUUUAGGAGGGGAAUAACAGUUAGAAAUGACUGCUAAUGCCGCAUAUCAUAAAUAUGAAAGAAGAAAUUCGCCUAAAGAAAAGCUUGCGUCUGAUUAGCUAGUUGGUAAGGGUAAAGGCCUACCAAGGCGACGAUCAGUAGCUGGUUUGAGAGGACGACCAGUCACACUGGAACUGAGACACGGUCCAGACUCCUACGGGAGGCAGCAGUGGGGAAUUUUCUGCAAUGGGCGCAAGCCUGACAGAGCAAUACCGCGUGAGGGAAGAAAGCCCACAGGGUUGUAAACCUCUUUUAUCAAGGAAGAAGUUCUGACGUUACUUGAUGAAUAAGCAUCGGCUAACUCCGUGCCAGCAGCCGCGGUAAGACGGGGGAUGCAAGUGUUAUCCGGAAUCACUGGGCGUAAAGCGUUUGUAGGUGGUCUAGUAAGUCUAUUGUUAAAGCUUGAAGCUUAACUUCAAAAAUGUAAUAGAAACUAUUAGACUUGAGGAUAGUAGGGGUAAAGGGAAUUUCCAGUGGAGCGGUGAAAUGCGUAGAGAUUGGAAGGACCACCGAUGGCGAAGGCACUUUACUGGGCUAUUUCUGACACUAAGAGACGAAAGCUAGGGUAGCGAAUGGGAUUAGAUACCCCAGUAGUCCUAGCUGUAAACGAUGGAUACUAGAUGUUGCGUGUAUCGAUCCAUGCAGUAUCGUAGCUAACGCGUUAAGUAU